rnacentral:tRNA from 1 species
GGCUGUGGCUCAGUGGCAGAGUGCUCGUCUAGCAUGCACAAGGCACUGGGUUCGAUCCCCAGCACCA